GACGAACGCUGGCGGCGUGCUUAACACAUGCAAGUCGAACGGAAAGGCCCUGCUUUUGUGGGGUGCUCGAGUGGCGAACGGGUGAGUAACACGUGAGUAACCUGCCCUUGACUUUGUGAUAACUUCAGGAAACGGGGGCUAAUACCGGAUAGGAGCUCCUGUUGCACGGGGGGGGGUGGAAAGUGUCGGCGGUUGGGGAUGGACUCGCGGCUGAUGAGCUUGUUGGUGGGGUAGUGGCUUACCAAGGCUUUGACGGGUAGCCGGCCUGAGAGGGUGACCGGCCACAUUGGGACUGAGAUACGGCCCAGACUCCUACGGGAGGCAGCAGUGGGGAAUAUUGCACAGUGGGCGGAAGCCUGAUGCAGCAACGCCGCGUGCGGGAUGACGGCCUUCGGGUUGUAAACCGCUUUCGCCUGUGACGAAGCGUGAGUGACGGUAAUGGGUAAAGAAGCACCGGCUAACUACGUG
rnacentral:rRNA from 1 species